CAGGUGCAGGACCAGGUACCGGACCAGGUACAGGACCAGGUACCAGACCAGGAAGUGAUGUAGACAAACACUCAGGACCAGGUACUGGACCAGGUACCAGACCGGGUACAGGACCAGGUACUGGACCAGGUACCAGACCAGAGCCUGACAACAACCUGGCUGUUCACCGACUGAAGCGUGGGAUCGGUGAGUCAGCAGAAACUUUUCUUUCAAUGAUCAAAACGUGCUGCCAUGACCACAUGUAGUGGUGUCCUUGAGCCAGGGUUACAUUUAAAAACAAGCUGGUAUCCUCCACUGCCGUGUGAUGUUCACCAGCUGAAGCAGGAAGUGCUCAUAGCCUUUCUGUCUGCUAUCAGUUUGGCUAACGCUGGUCUGGUUAGCAGUGGUUUAUGCUUUUUUCUUUGGCAAAAAGUUUUUUUUUUUGGCUAACGGCAUUUUAUUGGCUAAAAGUGUUUUAAUUUUUUCUUUUCU